GAUGAACGCUGGCGGCGUGCCUAAUACAUGCAAGUCGAGCGAACAGACGAGGAGCUUGCUUCUCUGACGUUAGCGGCGGACGGGUGAGUAACACGUGGAUAACCUACCUAUAAGACUGGGAUAACUUCGGGAAACCGGAGCUAAUACCGGAUAAUAUAUUGAACCGCAUGGUUCAAUAGUGAAAGACGGUUUUGCUGUCACUUAUAGAUGGAUCCGCGCCGCAUUAGCUAGUUGGUAAGGUAACGGCUUACCAAGGCAACGAUGCGUAGCCGACCUGAGAGGAUGAUCGGCCACACUGGAACUGAGACACGGUCCAGACUCCUACGGGAGGCAGCAGUAGGGAAUCUUGCGCAAUGGGCGAAAGCCUGACGGAGCAACGCCGCGUGAGUGAUGAAGGUCUUCGGAUCGUAAAGCUCUGUUAUUAGGGAAGAACAAAUGUGUAAGAAACUAUGCACGUCUUGACGGUACCUGAUCAGAAAGCCACGGCUAACUACGUG
rnacentral:rRNA from 1 species